rnacentral:lncRNA from 10 species
CCUUCUAACAUAGGCAAGUCAAAUAUCCAAGUUAUAUUACCUGCAACACACAGGCAUAGCUAUGUGUCAUUGUGUCAUUAUGAACCAGAAGUGAAAAAGCUGGUUCUUAUCCUGGCGUUGUCACUUCCCAGCUGUAUGGAUUGUACAAUGUUGUCGUUUACCAUUAUUAUUAUUGUUAAUCUCUUAUUGUUCCUAAUCUAUAAAUUAAACUUUAUCAUAGGCAUGUAUGCAUAGGAAGAAACAUGGUAUAUGUAGGGUUUGGCACUAUCUGUGGUUUCAGGUAUCUUCUGGUGUGUCUAGCUCAAGGUUUGUAAAUGCACCAAUCUGUGCUCUGUGUCUAGCUGAUCUAGUGGGGACUUGGAGAACCUUUAUGUCUAGCUAAGGGAUUGUGAAUACACCAAUCAGCACUCUGUAUCUAGCUAAUCUAGUGGUGACCUGGAGAACUUUUGUGUCUAGCUCAGGGAUUGUAAAACGUGCAGCUGUUACAUAUGUGUACAUGUGCCUUGUUGGUGUGCUGCACCCAUUAACUCGUCAUUUACAUUAGGUAUAUCUCCUAAUGCUAUCCUUCCCCCCUCCCUUUUUUUGUUGUUGUUGUUGCCCUGGAUGGAAGAUGGAUCUUAUAGUUUCACAUACAUGUGGGAGGUGGGAUCACUGACUGCAGAAAGAGAAGCAGUAAUGGUAGAGAAACUCUUUACCCCUAAGCAGUUGGCAUUUUGUCAGUCCAGAGUGGCUCUAUCUAUGACAGCAAACCCAACAUAGACUUUCAUCUGACCAAGUAGUUCACAGUCUUUGUUUCCAGAUUUCUUUAGAACUUCCUGUGGAGACUCCUUAAGGAUGAAAUUUUUGUGUUUUUAGUAGAGACGGGUUUCGCCAUGUUGGCCAGGCUGGUCUCAAACUCCUGGCUUCAAGUGAUCCUCUGGCCUCAGCCUCCCAAAGUGCUGGGAUUACAGGCAUGUGCCACCACGCCCAGCCUGGUAAUUAUGUUUCUAUUUUCUAAUUACAACUGCACUCACUGAGUUUAUCAAAGAUUGACUUUCGUUAAGUUAUUUAAAACAUUUUUGGCUUUUAAUAUACCUAAACAUUUUAAGUUUGCAAGAAAUUCAUUAUUAUAUGUAUGUUACAAAGGAUGAAGAUAUAUAUAUAUAUCAUAUAUAAGAUAUA